rnacentral:rRNA from 1 species
GCUUCUUGGGUGACGAGCGGCGGACGGGUGAGUAAUACAUAGGAAUCUGCCUGGUAGUGGGGGACAACAGUUGGAAACGACUGCUAAUACCGCAUACGCCCUACGGGGGAAAGCAGGGGAUCUUCGGACCUUGCGCUAUCAGAUGAGCCUAUGUCGGAUUAGCUUGUUGGUGAGGUAAAGGCUCACCAAGGCGAUGAUCCGUAGCUGGUCUGAGAGGAUGAUCAGCCACACUGGGACUGAGACACGGCCCAGACUCCUACGGGAGGCAGCAGUGGGGAAUAUUGGACAAUGGGGGCAACCCUGAUCCAGCCAUGCCGCGUGUGUGAAGAAGGCCUUCGGGUUGUAAAGCACUUUCAGUGGUGAGGAAAGGCAAGCGGUUAAUACCCGUUUGCUGUGACGUUAGCCACAGAAGAAGCACCGGCUAACUCCGUGCCAGCAGCCGCGGUAAUACGGAGGGUGCGAGCGUUAAUCGGAAUUACUGGGCGUAAAGCGCGCGUAGGUGGUUCAGUCAGUCAGAUGUGAAAGCCCCGGGCUUAACCUGGGAACUGCACCUGAUACUGCUGGACUAGAGUACGGUAGAGGGCAGUGGAAUUUCCGGUGUAGCGGUGAAAUGCGUAGAGAUCGGAAGGAACACCAGUGGCGAAGGCGACUGCCUGGACCGAUACUGACACUGAGGUGCGAAAGCGUGGGUAGCAAACAGGAUUAGAUACCCUGGUAGUCCACGCCGUAAACGAUGUCAACUAGCCGUUGGGGGACUUGAUCCUUUAGUGGCGCAGCUAACGCGAUAAGUUGACCGCCUGG